rnacentral:ncRNA from 1 species
UGCGGGCCGGUAUAAUAGGGAAACGGGUGCAAAUCCCGUGCGGGACCGCCGCCGUGAUGGCAGAGUUCCGGCUGAAUGAUGUCACUGUGGAUUGACCAUGGGAAGACCAGCCGGAUACGAUGACGCCUGAGCCGGAAGACCUGCCUUGUAUUCC